GGGGGCGUAAAGGUUUCGACGGGGAUUUUGAACGACAGUAAGCGAGUAAAGCCGGGCAAUCUUUUCAAAGGCCCAAACUUAAAUUUAAACGCUAAUUUUAACGAAUCAGCUAUAGCUGCCUAAGUGCGGCUCGUCCUGCGCGUGAGUACCACGGCUCGCGUUUGGGCGUCAAACAGUGGUGAACGUGCAUCGUCCUUUUGCUUUUGAGACGGUCAUGAACUAAAAAGCUACUUGGGUGUGAAGAUUGCUUUUCAUCGUCGCACCCGGGGAACGUAAAUGAAAAGAUACACUCGUAGAAAACUAUCGGAAUAGAUUUUCGGACAGGAGUUCGACUCUCCUCGCCUCCACCA
rnacentral:sRNA from 1 species